GGGCUGAAAUGAAUGCUUGAAUCUCUUUUUUUCUUACUUCUUUUCCCCUCCUUUAAGUGCCUUUAUAGCUUCAAUAGAUGGUAGAGAAAAAUCUUGACUAAAAAUAGAGCCGUUGGAGAUCAUUAAAUGAGCAUUAAAUGUAGUCAAAAUGAGCUGAAAACUAGUCGUUGCAGAGUUUUUCCAUCACAGGGAUCGACUCAUAGGGUCGACUC
rnacentral:lncRNA from 1 species